rnacentral:rRNA from 1 species
GCUAAAAAUCUAGCUCUACCCCAACCUAUGUAAUCAUCCUCCACCCCUCACCCAAACUAAAACAUUUUAACACUUUAGUAAAGGAGAUUGAAAAACUCAUUGAAGCAAUACAACUAGUACCGCAAGGGAAAGAUGAAAUAUAAAUGAAAAAUAUUUAAGCAAAACAAAGUAGAGCUUUACCCUCGUACCUUUUGCAUCAUGGUUCAACUAGUUCAAUCAAGCAAAAAGAAUUACAGUUUGACUUCCCGAAACUAGGUGAGCUACUUCGGGGCAGCUUUGAGAGCCAACCCGUCUCUGUGACAAAAGAGUGGGAAGACCCCUAAGUAGUGGCGACAAACCAACCGAACCUAGUGAUAGCUGGUUACUCAAGAAAAGGAUUUAAGUCCAACCUAAAGUCUACCUAUUACACUAAAAAUACCCAUGACUUUAGAGCAAUUCAAAUAAGGUACAGCCUAUUUGAAACAGGAUACAACCUCACCAGACGGGUAAAACUAUUACCCUAACCCCAAGUGGGCCUAAAAGCAGCCAUCUUUUUAAAAGCGUCACAGCUUAAUCUUUUCUAACCUUCAAUCCCCACCUUUUACCUUAACCCUCUACCAGUACUGAGUAAUCCUAUACACCUAUAGAAGAUUUUAUGUUGGAACUAGUAACAAGAAGCAAAACCUUCUCCUAAAUGCAAGCACAAAUCAGAAAGGAUUCACCACUGAUAAUUAACGCCAAUGACCCCCAAUCAGCAACCUCCCAAGAAAAACCUGAUUUAUCCCACGUUAACCUGACACUAGAGCAUUUCAAGAAAGAUUUUAAGAGAAAGAAGGAACUCGGCAAAUAUUAACCCCGCCUGUUUACCAAAAACAUCGCCUCUUGAGUUAAAAAUAAGAGGUCCAGCCUGCCCAGUGACUAAUGUUCAACGGCCGCGGUAUCCUAACCGUGCGAAGGUAGCGUAAUCACUUGUUCUUUAAAUGUGGACUAGUAUGAACGGCAUCACGAGGGUUACACUGUCUCCUUUCUCUAAUCAGUGAAACUAAUCUCCCCGUGAAGAAGCGGGGAUAUAAUUAUAAGACGAGAAGACCCUAUGGAGCUUCAAAGUUCUCUUCAAACGCCAAAACUCUACCAAGUCAAAGACUCUUGCACAAAAUUACGCGCCAUGAAGACAACUUUUAGGUUGGGGUGACCAUGGAGUAUAAAACAACCUCCACGCUGAACAGGCCUCUAAACCUCGAGCAAAGGACCACAACCCUCCGCACUAAAAAAUUAACACACAUUGAUCCAAUGAAUUUUGAUCAACGAACCAAGUUACCCUAGGGAUAACAGCGCAAUCUACUUCAAGAGUUCCUAUCGACAAGUGGGUUUACGACCUCGAUGUUGGAUCAGGGUGUCCCAGUGGUGCAGCCGCUACUAAUGGUUCGUUUGUUCAACGAUUAAAACCCU